GACUAGCCCAGAUGGAAACGGCAUCUCCCGAUUUAAAAAAACAAGGCUUUUUUGUCGUAGUUUUUGUUAAUCGGGAAUAUAGUGUACAGCUGGAAACAGC
rnacentral:sRNA from 1 species